rnacentral:rRNA from 1 species
GUAGUCCACGCUGUAAACGAUGGGUACUAGGUUUGGUGGGUCUUGACCCCCGCCGAACCGGCGCUAACGCAAUAAGUACCCCGCCUGGGAAGUACGGUCGCAAGACUAAAACUCAAAGGAAUUGACGGGGGCCCGCACAAGCGGUGGAUCAUGUGGUUUAAUUCGAAGCAACGCGAAGAACCUUACCUGGAUUUGACAUCCUCUGACAACCCUAGAGAUAGGGCUUCUGUAGCAAUACAGCAGAGAGACAGGUGCUGCAUGGCUGUCGUCAGCUCGUGUGGUGACAUGUUGGGUUAAGUCCCGCAACGAGCGCAACCCUUGUCCUUAGUUGCCAGCAUUCAGUUGGGCUCUCUAAGGAGACUGCCGUGGUUAACACGGA